rnacentral:rRNA from 1 species
UCCUACGGGACGCAGCAGUGAGGAAUAUUGGUCAAUGGGCGGAAGCCUGAACCAGCCAAGUCGCGUGAGGGAAGAAGGCCCUGCGGGUCGCAGACCUCUUUGGACGGGGAGCAAGGCCGCCGACGUGUCGGCGGAAGGAGAGUACCCGUAGAACAAGCAUCGGCUAACUCCGUGCCAGCAGCCGCGGUAAUACGGAGGAUCCGAGCGUUAUCCGGAUUUAUUGGGUUUAAAGGGUGCGUAGGCGGCCUUUUAAGUCAGCGGUGAAAGUCUGUGGCUCAACCAUAGAAUUGCCGUUGAAACUGGGG